GGAUGAGUGUCCGAGCGGUCUAAGGAGACGGUCUUGAAAACCGUUGAAGGGCGACCUUCCGCGAGUUCGAAUCUCGCCUCAUCCGCCU
rnacentral:tRNA from 1 species